CAUGCAAACUCCGAAUACCGAGGAGUACAAUUGCGGGAGACACACGACGGGUGCUAACGUCCGCCGUGGAGAGGGAAACAACCCAGACCGCCAGCUAAGGUCCCAAAUUACAGUUAAGUGGGAAACGAUGUGGGAAGGCUUAGACAGCUAGGAGGUUGGCUUAGAAGCAGCCAUCCUUUAAAGAAAGCGUAAUAGCUCACUAGUCGAGUCGGCCUGCGCGGAAGAUUUAACGGGGCUAAACUGUAAACCGAAGCUGCGGAUGCGUGCUUGCACGCAUGGUAGAGGAGCGUUCUGUAAGCUGAUGAAGGUGUGUUGAGAAGCAUGCUGGAGGUAUCAGAAGUGCGAAUGCUGACAUGAGUAACGAUAAUGGGUGUGAAAAACAUCCACGCCGAAAGACCAAGGUUUCCUGCUCAACGUUAAUCGGAGCAGGGUUAGUCGGCCCCUAAGGCGAGGCAGAAAUG
rnacentral:rRNA from 1 species